GUAUAGUGGCUGACGCCUGCCCAGUGCUGGAAGGUUAAAAGGAGGACUUAGCUUCGGCGAAGGUCUUAAUUGAAGCCCCAGUGAACGGCGGCCGUAACUAUAACGGUCCUAAGGUAGCGAAAUUCCUUGUCGGGUAAGUUCCGACCCGCAUGAAAGGCGUAAUGAUUUGGGCGCUGUCUCAACAAUAGACUCGGUGAAAUUUAAAUUCCAGUGAAGAUGCUGGGUACCCGCGACAGGACGGAAAGACCCCGUGGAGCUUUACUGUAGCUUGAUAUUGAAUGUUUGUGCUGCAUGUGCAGGAUAGGUAGGAGACUUUGAAGUCGGAACGCUAGUUUCGAUUGAGUAACCCUUGAGA
rnacentral:rRNA from 1 species